CCGAAGCCCUGGCAAACGGCGGCCGUAACUCUAACGGUCCUAAGGUAGCAUAAGCUGCCUGAAUUCAGCUGUAUGCGGGAAAAUCCUUAGAGCCUUGACUACGAGGUUAAAGUUAUUAACCCGUAAAAAUGUCAAGGAUUGGAUAAUCCGCAGGAAAUUCUGCUGAAGCAGAAGAUCCUCAGAGGCCAUACGCUGAGCAUUUAGUUCCUUAGGAGGUAUUAUGAAACUCAGUGAGGACUGGAUUAUAGGUUUUGUUGACGGUGAAGGAUGUUUUCAUAUAUCAGUUCUCAGGCAUCCUGAAAUGAAUACAGGAUAUCAAGUUCUUCCUGAAUUUACAGUUGUCCAACACGAACGGGACAAGCAAAUUCUUUAUGCCUUAAAAUCCUACUUCAAAUGCGGUGUUGUGCGAAAAAAUCGUGGUGACCGAUGGUGCUAUCGAAUUCGUAAACUCAGCUGUCUUGAAACUCUAUGCAACUUCUUCAGCAAACACCCUUUAAAGACGAAGAAGAAUGUUGAUUACAUAAAAUUCCGACGGAUUAUUCAAGAUAUGAUACAGGGAAAACAUCUUACGAAGGAAGGUUUGAAGAAGAUUAUUAAAACCGCUAUGACAAUGAAUACCGCAGACAGAAAGAAACUUCUCCAAAUCAAACAAAACCUGGGAAUUAAAUGAAGAGAUGGUCCACACCAUAACGAAAGUUAUGG
rnacentral:ncRNA from 1 species